CCUACGGGAGGCAGCAGUGGGGAAUAUUGCGCAAUGGGCGAAAGCCUGACGCAGCGACGCCGCGUGAGGGAUGAAGGUCUUCGGAUCGUAAACCUCUGUCAGCAGGGAAGAACGGUCACUGUACUAAUCAGCAGUGAAUUGACGGUACCUGCAAAGGAAGCACCGGCUAACUCCGUGCCAGCAGCCGCGGUAAUACGGAGGGUGCGAGCGUUAAUCGGAUUUACUGGGCGUAAAGCGCUCGUAGGCGGUAUGUCAAGUCAAGGGUGAAAUCCCGGGGCUCAACGUGGGAACUGCCUUUGAAACUGGCAAACUGGAGUGUGUGAGAGGAUAGUGGAAUUCCAGGUGUAGGAGUGAAAGCCGUAGAUAUCUGGAGGAACAUCAGUGGCGAAGGCGACUAUCUGGCACAUAACUGACGCUGAGGAGCGAAAGCGUGGGUAGCAAACAGGAUUAGAUACCCUAGUAGUC
rnacentral:rRNA from 1 species